UGGGGAAUUUUGGACAAUGGGGGCAACCCUGAUCCAGCAAUGCCGCGUGUGUGAAGAAGGCCUUCGGGUUGUAAAGCACUUUUGUCCGGAAAGAAAACGCCGUGGUUAAUACCCGUGGCGGAUGACGGUACCGGAAGAAUAAGCACCGGCUAACUACGUGCCAGCAGCCGCGGUAAUACGUAGGGUGCAAGCGUUAAUCGGAAUUACUGGGCGUAAAGCGUGCGCAGGCGGUCCGCUAAGACAGAUGUGAAAUCCCCGGGCUUAACCUGGGAACUGCAUUUGUGACUGGCGGGCUAGAGUAUGGCAGAGGGGGGUAGAAUUCCACGUGUAGCAGUGAAAUGCGUAGAGAUGUGGAGGAAUACCGAUGGCGAAGGCAGCCCCCUGGGCCAAUACUGACGCUCAUGCACGAAAAGCGUGGGGAGCAAACAGGAUUAGAUACCCUGGUAGUCCACGCCCUAAACGAUGUCAACUAGUUGUCGGGUCUUCAUUGACUUGGUAACGUAGCUAACGCGUGAAGUUGACCGCCUGGGGAGUACGGUCGCAAGAUUAAAAACUCAAAUGAAUUGACGGGGUCAUAGCUGUUUCCUG
rnacentral:rRNA from 1 species